rnacentral:lncRNA from 1 species
GUGAGCGAGCCCAGAGUCGCGUACCUCCGGGCUCUGGCCGCUUCUUUCCUCUCAAGCCGACCUUCGCGCUUGCUUCCUGCCGCCCCGUCCCGACCCGGGGCUGGCGACAAUCCCGCGGUGGCUGGUGACGUUCGCUCCGGCUUGGCCGAGCACAGGAAGCCCGCGCCUACGGUCGUGCGACCCUUUUAUAACCCACUUGUGACUCAUAACCGACCGGGCGGCUUUUCUGUCACCCCCCCCCUUCCCCUCCUCCUGCCUCUUCUUGGAACCCACAGCUUGAAAAACUUUUUUUUUCUUUUUAAAGGAAAAGUCGAAAAAGUCCAGCGCCCCGAGGAGGGGUGUUUUCCCCUUUCCCUUUCUCGUGGGUCACUCGGUGUGUGUUUUCUCUUACACCCGCCAUGUACUUUCCUGACCCGCGCAGCAAGGCUGGGGCGCCAACCUUUGUUCGCAAUGAAAAGGAAACGCAUUCAAAUUACGGCCAGACGUUGCCGAGCUUUCAGUCGGCUGGAGGGGAAGUGCUGCUUCUUACAACUGGCUGGCUGGGGAGUCUACACCCUGCUUGUAGUUGAGAAAGAAAAGUGAAGCAAGUGGAAAGUUCUCCCUUCCUGCUCCUACUGAUUCAGCCAGAGAUUCCACAUGUAAGAGAAAACGUGAGACCCGUCUUUCCGAAUCUGGCUUAACAUAAUGAUCUUCACUUCCAUCCAUUUUACUGCAGAUGACAUGAUUUCAUUUUCCUUUAUGGCUGAAUAAUACUCUAUUGUAGGUCAUCUGAGAAUAUAAUGACAUGAUGGUUUCCUCUAUGUCACAAAGAUAAUCCUCCCCAGAAACUAAAUUCUACUGGGUCUUGACAUUGGAUUCUGCCAUCCAAAACUAUGAAGAAAUAAAUGUGUUGUUUCAGCCACC